AGAGUUUGAUCCUGGCUCAGAACGAACGCUGGCGGCAGGCCUAACACAUGCAAGUCGAACGAUGCCUUCGGGCAUAGUGGCGCACGGGUGAGUAACACGUGGGAACAUACCUUUUGGUGGGGGAUAACUUCGGGAAACUGCAGCUAAUACCGCAUACGCCCCUUGGGGGAAAGAUUUAUCGCCGAAAGAUUGGCCCGCGUCCGAUUAGCUAGUUGGUGAGGUAAUGGCUCACCAAGGCUCCGAUCGGUAGCUGGUCUGAGAGGAUGACCAGCCACACUGGGACUGAGACACGGCCCAGACUCCUACGGGAGGCAGCAGUGGGGAAUAUUGGACAAUGGGCGCAAGCCUGAUCCAGCCAUGCCGCGUGAGUGAUGAAGGCCUUAGGGUUGUAAAGCUCUUCACCCACGACGAUGAUGACGGUAGUGGAGAGA
rnacentral:rRNA from 1 species